UGCUCCUACGGGAGGCAGCAGUGGGGAAUAUUGCGCAAUGGGCGAAAGCCUGACGCAGCGACGCCGCGUGAGGGAUGAAGGUCUUCGGAUCGUAAACCUCUGUCAGCAGGGAAGAACGGUCACUGUGCUAAUCAGCAGUGAAUUGACGGUACCUGCUAAGGAAGCACCGGCUAACUCCGUGCCAGCAGCCGCGGUAAUACGGAGGGUGCGAGCGUUAAUCGGAAUUACUGGGCGUAAAGCGCUCGAAGGCGGAAUGUCAGGUCAAGGGUGAAAUCCCCGCGCUCAACGUGGGAAGUUCCUUUGAA
rnacentral:rRNA from 1 species